UCCAUUUUUUCCCACGUCGAACCCAAAUUUGUCUCUCUGUUUUAUUGAAAAAAGAAAACCAUCUCUUUCCAUCGUCUCUUCUCUCUCUCUCUCUGAUUCUCCCUCCCUUUCCCCCAACCCCCUCUAAUCCGAUCUCAUUCUCAUUGGUUUUCCUUUUGAUCAAUACUCGGGGGAGAAGAAUACGAUGGAGGUUGAGACGGCGUCUUCCCACCACAAGAGGGAUGGAUCGAUGAGCAGCGUGGCCAGCAGCGUUGCCAGCAGCCCCGAUGGCAAGAGGGAGCUGUUCGAGUUCUUCGGCUGGGUCUUUCACCUCGGCGUCAACUCAAUCGGGCACGAGUAUUGCCACCUGAGGUUCUUAUUCAUACGCGGCAAGUAUGUCGAGAUGUAUAAGCGCGACCCCCAUGAGAAUCCCGGCAUUAGACCGAUUAGGAGGGGUGUCAUAGGUCCCUCGCUUAUGGUAGAGGAGCUAGGACGUCGGAAGGUCAAUGAUGGGGAUGUAUACGUCAUUCGAUUUUAUAGUCGGCUGGAUGAGACAAAGAAAGGAGAAAUUGCAUGUGCUACAGCUGGGGAAGCUCAAAAGUGGAUGGAAGCUUUUGACCUCGCCAAGCAACAGGCUGUCUACGAGCUUUCAAGGGGUGGUAGUGCCAGAGACAAAUUGAAUGUGGAGACAGAGAUCAACCUAGCUGGGCAUCGGCCUAGAGUGAGGCGUUAUGCCCAUGAGUUAAAGAGACUCAUCAGAAUUGGGCAAGGUCCAGAGACUCUCUUGCGGCGUUCCUCCACUUUAGGUAAUGGUUAUUUUCAGAGCAAUGCAGGAGAUGUGAUUGAAGCCAAUGACUGGAAAUGUGUCCGUACCAUUAAUGGAACCAGAAUCCUUGAGGAUGUUUCUGAUUCAAAGGCUGGAAAAAGUGCGCUUGUGAAGGCUGUUGCAGUGAUUGAGGCCAGUGCAGAUACUAUUUUUGAAAUGAUACUGAACCUCGAGCGGCAUCAUAGAUAUGAGUGGGACACUUUCAGUGGUGAUUUGGAGCUCAUAGAUUCUUAUGAUGGUCACUACGAUGUUGUGUACGGGACAUUUGAUCCAAAAUAUCUUACUAGAUGGACUUCAAAAAAAGAUUUCAUCUUCUCAAGGCAGUGGUUUCGUGCACAGGAUGGGACGUACACAAUAAUGCAACUUCCGGCAAUACACAAGAAAAGGCCUCCAAGAUCAGGAUAUAAGCGCAUCACAGUUAACCCCUCCACAUGGGAGAUUAGGGCUAUAAACACGCCAAUGGGCAUGAAUACAGCCAAAUGUCUGGUGACACAUAUGUUGGAAAUAAAUUCAGUUGGGUGGUGUAGAUGGAAGAAUGAUCAUUGCUCAAAGUUUGAGAAGACUGUACCUUAUGCCUUGCUGUGCCAAGUCUCUGGCCUGAAGGAGUAUGUUGAAGCUAACCCUGUACUCAAGUCAGAAGCUGCUGCGGCCUUCUCCCAAGUAAAAGUCUCAGAUUUGUCGAGUUCUAACAGUGACUAUGAGGAUAUAAAUGGAGAGGAUGAGUUCUAUGAUGCCGUGUCUGCUGACUCUUCAUCAUCAGAAGGAAGUGAUGAUGAAGAAACUGACGAGAAGGUUAAGAAGGUGAGACUGAAGAAUGUGUCGUGGGCUAUAGCAGGCUUGGCUUUGAAGAAGUUAUCAGGAACAGAUGCACGUAACGAACUCGACCGAUGUGUAGCUCCCAUCAGCAUUGAUCUGAGCAACUUCCGUGGUUCCUUAGCCAGAGGGAAGGAUGAUUCUGACAAAGACUGCUGGAGUUCUCCUAGUGGUGAUGGAUUCGCGAUACGAGGAAAAGAUUACUUAAGAGAUAACACGAAGGUGAAGGGAAGCAACCCUCUUCUUCAACUGAUUGCGGUUGACUGGUUGAAAGUGGAUGGGAAACUCGAUAAUGUUGCGCUGCAUCCUAAAUGUCUUGUACAGCUGGUUAUGGUUCCUAAUAUCUGUUAUUGUCCUUACAGUCCGAAGCUGGGAAAAAGCUUCCUUUCAUUCUUGUCAUCAACCUUCAGGUUCCAGCAAAACCAAACUACAGUUUGGUCUGUUAUUUUGCUGCUGAUAGGCCCGUAAGUAAGAAAUCGUUGUUGGCUAAAUUUGUCAACGGAACAGACGCAUUUCGGGAUGCAAGAUUCAAAUUGAUACCUAGUAUAAUCGAGGGAUAUUGGAUGGUGAAGCGAGCGGUUGGAACGAAAGCUUGCCUCCUCGGGAAAGCUGUAACCUGCAAUUACCUUAGACAGGACAACUUUCUGGAGAUCGAUGUGGAUAUCGGAUCAUCUUCGGUAGCGAGGAGCGUCAUCGGUCUUGUACUUGGAUACGUGACGAGUAUAGUUGUUGAUCUUGCAAUUCUUAUAGAGGCAAAGGAAGAGACUGAAUUACCUGAGUACAUUCUUGGAACUGUCCGGCUAAACCGUUUGAAGCCUGAGUCCGCUGUACAGUUUGGAGUUUGAGGAUACCUGCACAUCAAAAUUCUUUCUAUCCACUAGAGAGCUAACUUCCCCGACAGAACAAGUUUUAAUCAGUGUUACCGUCGUCAAAUACGAGUUGCUCGCACCUAUUCUUCCUAGGAUCUUUGGAGGAGACUGCACUCUCAUUUACAUCGGGAGCAAUUUGCUUUUGUUAUGAUGACUAAAGAUUGAUUGGAUAUUGAAGACAGAUAUGAGAUAUAAUUGUUCAGCCUGAGAGAUCUACAUGAGAUUGUUAUAUAUAUGUAUGGCGUGUGGCUGCUUCUCCAGUGGAUUUACAUUUUACCACAUUAA